AGGCGCGUAGCUCAGCGGUAGAGCACUUGCUCGACACGCAAGUGGUCGGUGGUUCGAUCCCACUCGCGCCUACCA
rnacentral:tRNA from 6 species